AAAACUUUCAACAACGGAUCUCUUGGUUCUGGCAUCGAUGAAGAACGCAGCGAAAUGCGAUAAGUAAUGUGAAUUGCAGAAUUCAGUGAACCAUCGAAUCUUUGAACGCACAUUGCGCCCGCCAGUAUUCUGGCGGGCAUGCCUGUCCGAGCGUCAU
rnacentral:rRNA from 1 species